GAUGAAGAACGUAGCGAAAUGCGAUACGCAAUGUGAAUUGCAGAAUUCAGUGAAUCAUCGAGUCUUUGAACGCACAUUGCGCCCCCUGGUAUUCCGGGGGGCAUGCCUGUCCGAGCGUCAUUGCUGCCCUCAAGCACGGCUUGUGUGUUGGGCCUCCGUCCUCCUCCCGGGGGACGGGCCCGAAAGGCAGCGGCGGCACCGCGUCCGGUCCUCGAGCGUAUGGGGCUUCGUCACCCGCUCUUGUAGCCCCGGCCGGCGCUUGCCGACACAUCAAUCUUUUUUCCAGGUUGACCUCGGAUCAGGUAGGGAUACCCGCUGAACUUAAGCAUAUCAAUAAGCGGAGGA
rnacentral:misc_RNA from 1 species